rnacentral:rRNA from 1 species
UACGUGGGUCCCGAGCGUUGUCCGGAUUUAUUGGGCGUAAAGCGAGCGCAGGUGGUUUAUUAAGUCUGGUGUAAAAGGCAGUGGCUCAACCAUUGUAUGCAUUGGAAACUGGUAGACUUGAGUGCAGGAGAGGAGAGUGGAAUUCCAUGUGUAGCGGUGAAAUGCGUAGAUAUAUGGAGGAACACCGGUGGCGAAAGCGGCUCUCUGGCCAGUAACUGACACUGAGGCUCGAAAGCGUGGGGAGCAAACAGG